rnacentral:lncRNA from 1 species
CUAAAACCAAACGUUACAUUUGCAGUGCCAAUGCCCAGAAUGAUGUUCUUAAACUCCAAGCCCAGAACCAUUGAAAAACCGACAUUUGAGGAGGAGCUAAAAAGCAUUUUUAAGAAAUACGAUAAAACGGGUGAUGGGAAAUUGAGCAGGCAAGAACUCAAGAUGGCUGCCUGCUUAUGGUUUAGUGGUUUCAGAUCUUAUCGAGCACUGCAACAUGCUGAUAGAAACAAUGAUGGCUACAUAUCUGAAAAUGAAAUAAAUGAACUUGUUAACUAUGCUAUCAAAAUGGGUUAUAAAGUUACAGCAUAAAUAUAAAUUUAUCAAUGUAUAAUCUCUUUUUUUUUUUUUUUAUUUGGAGCAUUGGGGGGCAUCAUGUAUUAAAAUAAUCUACUUUUCUGAGUAGUUUGAAUUAAUGUUGUUUAGAAUUAGUAUGAUUUUCUAGUUCGAAUACUCGAGACUUCUGGUAAGUGGUACUUCUUUGUGGGAAAAAAAGAAUUAAUUUUCCUAUGUAAUAUGAUCUUAUUAAUUAUUCAGAAUAUAUGAAAUACAUAAUAAAAACUUGGUUCACUUAAUUUUUUCUUUAUUAUUAUAUGAAAGAUUUUAAUGUACUCUUUUAUAAUGAAUAGCCACUUUACAAAAAAGUAGUUCAACUUUCAUGAGACUUAAAUAAAAUUGAAAGACUUUUCAUUACGCAAAAUAAUUUUAUAACUUUAGUGAAAUAAAUUAAAAAUUGGAUGACCAUCAAUACAAUAUAAUAUAAGAAGUUUUUCCUCAUGUAAUUGCCUACUAUCGAGGCUCUUAAUCGAUCCUUUUCUUGUCCACAACAUUUUAUCUUAUAGCAAGUCAAUCUUCUUAAUUUUUAAUCACCCAUCACUUAAUUUUUUCAUGAUAAUUUACGUAAAAACUGUACACAUACAUAAUUAAGUGUAAAUUUGCCUAUAUAUGCAAUUACUUGUUUUCUUUUAAUUUCAUUAGACAUUAUAUAUUAAAAAUCUACUGAUUUUAAGUAGAUUUUUACUAAUUCGAAUUUGUGUUGUGUAGAAUCAAGAGGUAUAAGUACCUUUCUAUCAACAUAUUCUCUGGCUCGAAUACACGAGAUCUCAGGCACCCUUUUGUGAAGAAAUUUAAUUUGCAUAUGCUCUAUGAUCUAACUGAACGUUAGGAAUAAAUGGAGUGCGUAGAAGAAUCCUAUGUACUUUGUCUCGAUACAACUUGGUAUGGAUGGUGGUUGUUAUGCAUCAUAUGAUGUUAUAUAUUGUAAAGCAUGAUUUUAAUGAAUUACGUGUUUUGAUGAAUUGUAUCAGUUUUUGUAGUUCCAUAAUAUCGAAUCAUCAUAUGAAGAAUACACUUAUAAUAUUGUAAAAAAAAAAAAGAAGUAAAGUAUGAGGUAGAGUUUUUUUUUUUAAAGUACUUAAAGUAGGCUAAAAAUAGAGUAUAUAGAUUUAUUUUAAAUAAUAACCUUAAGAUAACAAUGUAUCACACUAGAUAGUUGCGGCCCGUGCGCCUACAUUUUACAUUUUCAACAAUGAUCAAUUUAUAGAUUUAUAUAUAUAUAUAUACUAGAUGGUCGAGGCCCGUGUCAACAAUGAUCAAUUAUAGAUGUUUUUCUUUUUAUCACGGCGGAUAGUAUUAAAGAACAAAAAAGAAUUAAAUCUUAGCCCCUAGCAAUGUAGCUUAUUGAAGAAGAGUCCAAGCUACUUGAGAAAAUUGAAUGAAAGGUGUCUUUUAAGUCUUAAAUGAAGGAUUAGUGACAUUUACCAACUUAAAGGGUCAAACAUCAUUAGAAAACUUGAUUAAGUUAAUUGUGGACUUGAUUAAUAUUUUUAAAACUUUCUAAUCUUCUCAAAAAUACAAAUUAAUCCAACCCACACCCCUCUUCAAUCCAAAUCAAUCAGUCUCUCUCCUCUCUCACUCUCGACACCUUUUCUCAACUCUCUCCCAACCAACAGUUUUGCGAAUUUCUCCUUUCAAUCCUCAGCAACUUCAACAUCCGACAACAAAUAGUUGGGCUUCGAGUUCCUUUUCGAAUUCAACCUUCAAUCGACGUGACAGCCUUACUCUCCGACCACAACAACUUUGAAUUCUUCAACCUUCAAUCGACGUGACAACCUUGCUCUCCGGCCACAACAGCUUCGAAUUCAUCAUCGUUUCUUUUCUUCUUUUACAGGUUAAAAUUUAUGGCCUUUUUAGUUUUGAAGAAAACGAGGAACUUGAGCCAACUUCUCUUAUAUUGAUUAACAAUUUCAAUAUUUGUUGCUUUAAUUUAAAAUGUGGUCUGAACAAAAUCCUAAUUUCUGGUAUUUCUUCUCUUCUCUUUUCAAAGUGAAUUGUAAUUUUUUGUUGUUUGUUGCCUUUUUUUGAAGUUUGAUUUUUGUUGUUUGUGUUUAUAAAAACAAAAACAAUGAUUUGGGUUGAUUUGUUCUGUUCUGGUUCUUGGUAAAAAUGGUGAUAUUGCUGUUUUUCUGUUGAACAAAAUUGUUCUACUGUUUUUUAUUUUAUCCAACAGAUUAUCCAUCUGGUGCAACAUAUUAACCAUCUGGUGCAAUAGAUUUGUCAGAUGAUGCAACAAAUAAACCAUCUGAUGCAACAGAGAAACCAUCAUAUUACAAUUCUGAUGUAAUAGAUUAUUCAUCUGAUGCAACAUAUUUAUCAUAUGAUGCAACAGCUUAACUAUCUGAUGCAACAGAUUAACCACAUAUUGCAACAGAUUAAGCAUCGGAUAAAAAAUUUGAUGCAACUGAUUAACCAUCUGAUGCAUUUGUGGUAAUUUAAAAUUGUUAAAACGGAUUAGCUCAAUCCAGUUCAGUCCUACUCUAAUAAGCUGGAAAGUUCAAAUUCAUUUUAGAUUAGAAAUUUAAUAAAAUAUUUUUUCUAAAAUUUCAUGCUCAAUCAAACACCAACAUAUCAAUUAAGAUGAAGGGAGUACUACUAAUUUUAGUUGCCCAAAUUACCUUUUUUUCGUUUGAUUAAUUAGGCUCUACAAAUGAGUUGGAUUAGACAAAAUCAAUUUUACAUUUCACACAAACUUGCAGCUUUUUUCCCUUCUAAAAUAGUACUAAUAAUUAAGUGUUAGUGUUUCCCUUUUUAUGUAUGUAAUAGCCUCCAAAUACGAACACUCACAUACAAUAGAAGACGGCUAAUUGUUGAAUUAAUAACCAAAAUACUCAAUUGUCUUAUGUGGGUGUUUUAUGCUCUAUUCAAAUCGUCUGGGCGGCGCAUGUAUUCAUCCUCCCAUCAAAGAUUUUACAGUUCAUAGAAGCUAUCUACUGAUAAGUUUUGUGGACGGAAAAGGCUGAACUAUCCAAAAAGGCUCUGUUGGCAUGGAGUAGGGUGUGUAGUUAUGAGGUUUCCGGAGGGCUUGACAUCAUUAGCAUUAAUGUGCAUUGGAGCAGGGCAGCUGUUUGAUGAAGCCAAGCAUUAUUUUGAUGAAGCUGGAUAUAACCAAGUAACUGUAUCUAUUAAGAAAGUCUAUCAGUCCUUUAACAGUACCUAUUACAAAGGCGCCUUGGUACAGACUUGUACAAGGAAAUAAGGGGGCUCGAAAGUGGAUUUUUCUAUACUCAAAUUGGCAGCACACGGUCGAUUAUUAACUCGUGGUAGAAUGCGAAAACGGGGCAUGAAAACUAGCCCAUUGUGCCCACUAUGUCUACUAGAAGUUGAGAUAUAUUGUUACACAUUGUUCUUUCAUUGUUGAGUUAUUAGCAGAUUGUGAAAGACAUUGUUGGCAUGGGAGGAGCUAGCCUGGGUGAUUGUGUAUUGUAAAGGAAGGAGAAGAGGAGCUGCAUUGUAUAAAAUGUCACUGGCUGCUGCUAUUUACUAUGUGUGUCAAGCACGAAACUAUCAAGUUUUUCAACAAAGACAAAGAAUAGAGGAGGCUAUCACUUGGAAAAUCAUCCAGGAGGUUUACCACAGAACUAACAUGUACCCCAAGCUAGCUGAUUAUGUUGCGCAAUUUGAUAAUUAUCCAACUUAGCUGUUUUGGGGGAGGUGGGUAGAUAUCAAAGAUGAUAGGCUGAUGUAACCUGGUCUAGGAGCAAAAUGUCCUGACCAACUAGGAAACUUUCUUGAUUUUUUCUUUCUUUGAGUUUUACGUAUGCUUACUUUGGUUAAAUAAAGUUUUAAUUAACCCCCCCAAAGAAAAAAGAGAGAGCAAUAAUUAACCAUGGUAAGUACCAUCGUUGCCUAAGCAUAAUCAGAAUACAUAUAACAUUUCUUUUACAGUUCUUUUCGUUUUUAACUAAUCGAUAAGUCUAGAUCCCAAAUGAACCUUUUCGGAAGCCUUUUGACGUAUUGCUUAAUAGGCCUAAUAGUGGUUAGUGCGGAUUGGAACUGAUUCAUAACAAUGUAGAUAUCAUUUUUUUAAAUCAAAAAUUACUCAAGCCAAGAAGAAUUAGAUUCUAUUAUUAUUUACUGAUAAGGAUAAAUCAUUUUCUCCAUUUUAUAUCAAGAAUCCAAUUCUUGAAAACAACAUAAUCCACUAUUUAAGAACAUUAUUCACCACUUUUAGCACUAUAAAACCUCCCUUUUCCCAGAAAGUAUAUUGUAACACAAAUCAUCUAAAACCAAACGUUACAUUUGCAGUGCCAAUGUCCAGCAUGGUGUUCUUAAACACCAAGCCCAGAACCAUUGAAAAACCGACAUCUGAGGAGCUAAAAAGCAUUUUUAAGAAGUACGAUAAAACGGGUGAUGGGAUUUCACUGACAUCUGAGGAGCUAAAAAGCAUUUUUAAGAAGUACGGUAAAACGGGUGAUGGGAAAUUGAGCAGGCAAGAACUCAAGAGGGAUGCCUGCUUAUGGUUUACUGGUUUCAGAUCUGGUCGAGCACUGCAACGUGCUGAUAGAAACAGUGAUGUCUACAUAUCUGAAAAUGAAAUAAAUGAACUUGUUAACUAUGCUAGCAAAAUGGGUUAUCAAGUUACAACAUAAAUAUAAAUUUAUCAAUGUAUAAUCUCUUUUUUUUUUUUUUUUGAGCAUUGGGGAGUCUUUUAGCAUCAUGUAUCAAAAUAAUCUACUUUUCUGAGUAGUUUGAAUUAAUGUUGUUUAGAAUUAGUAUGGUUUUCUAGCGCAAAUACUCGAGACCUCUGGUAAGUGGUACUUCUUUGUG